AUUGAACGCUGGCGGCAUGCUUUACACAUGCAAGUCGAACGGUAACAGGCCGCAAGGUGCUGACGAGUGGCGAACGGGUGAGUAAUGCAUCGGAACGUGCCCAGUCGUGGGGGAUAACGCAGCGAAAGCUGCGCUAAUACCGCAUACGAUCUAUGGAUGAAAGCGGGGGACCGUAAGGCCUCGCGCGAUUGGGGCGGCCGAUGUCAGAUUAGGUAGUUGGUGGGGUAAAGGCUCACCAAGCCAACGAUCUGUAGCUGGUCUGAGAGGACGACCAGCCACACUGGGACUGUGACACGGCCCAGACUCCUACGGGAGGCAGCAGUGGGGAAUUUUGGACAAUGGGCGCAAGCCUGAUCCAGCAAUGCCGCGUGCAGGAAGAAGGCCUUCGGGUUGUAAACUGCUUUUGUACGGAACGAAACGGCUCUGGUUAAUACCUGGGGCUAAUGACAGUACCGUAAGAAUAAGCACCGGCUAACUACGUGCCAGCCGCCGCCGUAAGAC
rnacentral:rRNA from 1 species